GCGGGCGUGGUGGAAUUGGUAGACACAGCAGGUUUAGGUCCUGCCGCCUCACGGUUUGGGGGUUCGAGUCCCUCCGCCCGCACCA
rnacentral:tRNA from 1 species